AGAUGAUUCACGCCGGAUAUAAAGAAAAAGAAUUUAUUUUUAAUUCCAACAAAAAUGAUUUACAAAAACAUUUGUAAAAUUAGUUAUUGAAUUUAUAUGCAUUGCAUAUUUAUUUAAUUUAGCAUUCAAGCAUUUUCACGAGCUUUUAAUUAGCAAAUCCUGAAGAAUUAUUACAGUUUCGACAAUUUUAUCAGAUAGAAUUUUAUUUGUCAAAUCAACAACCUCAAUUACCCACCUCCCUAUGAUAUCCAUCAGCCACCUACCCACUUACCCACCUCCCAUACCUGCAUUACACCUCAUUCAUCACUAUCAUACAUGCAUCACACCUCAUUCAUCACUAGGAAUUUCAAUCAUGCUUUCCACUUCAUCUCACACACUCUCUUCGUUUCCAUCACCCCAAACAAAGUUCAAGAGCAGAGCAACCAAGCAAACUCAGCAGCCAACCAUUUCAGAAAUUGAAGUGAAAUUCUAAAGGUUCAAACUUUAACUCGUCGCUUUAUUUCCCUUUUCGAUUGAGCAACCCAUUGAUAUCAUGUUAAGAUUUCCAGCCAUUCAAUUGAAUCACACGCUACUGAUUUCCCAUAUAGCAAAUUCAGUUUCGUGUAUCAAGUUUUUGAAACAAAAUGACAUUUACAUACAUGAGCAUACAAAUAUGUAUUUCUAUAUUCAUGAAACAUUCUUGUUGAAAAGAAGAAAGAAAAGUUUGAGCUUUGAUUUUGUUUCCUUGUCUGUCGAGUCUGGGCUCUGGUCGAAGGCGGUGGCUCGGCGCCACUGUCGGUCGGCUGGCGAGUUGAGGGAGAAGCUGACUGAGGCGGAUGAGAGAGUGGAGGGAAGCAGGGCACGGCGGCGGUGCCGCUGCUGUCCGGCCAAGGGCGAAAAACUGAGAGGGGAGGGAGUCAUGGUUUGUGUGUGUGAGCGUCUGUGAGUCAGGGGAGAGUCGACGGCGGCAGCCAUGGCUGCUGUCGCCGGAUGUUGCACAGAGGGAGGCCGAGGGAGGCGGCGGCGUCUACGUCGUCGCCAAGGAGGAGAGAGAACAGGGGUUGGGGCGGUGGCUGUCGUUGCAGUCGCCGAAAGAGGGGGAAGAAAGAGGGAGCUGGAACCUAUCGACGCUUGCCCCGGCGAGCUCCGACGGCGGUGAAAUUCUGAGGGAAAGAGACGAGCAGUCGUGAGGGAGAAAGAGAGAGACAAGAGAGGGGUUGAGAAGCAAGAGGGCGCCGGCGGUCGGGCGGUGGAGGUGGCGCUGCUACCGCUACCGGAAAAGAAGAGAGGGGGUGAGAAGAGGGUGUUGCAGCGCCGCUGCGUGUGUGUGUGUGUGCGUCUGAUGGGGGGUGAAGAGGGUAGUAGGUUUAAGUGUUGGGGGCUUGGGCUUGGGAGUGUUGGGGGCUUGGGCCGAUUUAUUGGGCCGACUUUAUUUUAUUUAAUGGGCCGAGUUUUGUUUAUUAAAUAAGCUGGGCCUUUGAUUAUUUUAAAUCAUGGGCUGCCCAAGUAUUUAUUUAAUAGGAUUUGUGUAGAUUUUAUUUAAAGGAGCUACACUAUUAUAAUUAAUUAGACUUAUUAAGUUUAAUUAAUUAUUUUCAAAGAGUAAAUUUUCAUAAUAAUAUCAUAUUAUUAUUAUGUGCAUAUUUUAAGUAAAUUACUUAUUAUAUGCUAAGCAUGACAUGAAAUUGCAUUAUAUUUUGCAAUAAAAAUAUUUAUGAUUUAAUUGGUUUUAUUUAUAAUUCCAAUUAUUAAAGAAAGAUGAGUAAGAAUAUUGUUGGUGUUCUUAACUCAAGAGAAAUGUUUUCAAUUAUUUAUUUAUUAAAUUUUGAAAACCCGGCUAAGUGAAUCAUAGAAUAUUAAGCACUACACCUUGACUUAAGAUUAGAUUCAGGAGACCUAUUGAGAAUAGAUUUCUUGUAGGCUUUGUGCUCAGGGGGAUUAGCGCUGCUUUCCCAAGACAGGUUUAUAUGUGUUAUGAUCUUCAGGCUUUGCCUAUCCAGGUGGGCUUACUUUCCAAAUGUACAAAGUAUGAUUGAGUUAUUAAGCUCUAAAUGUUUCAAUGAAAUGCAAAUUGUUUAUUUAAUGUAAUGAAAACUGUUUAUCCAAUAAAAUGUUUAUGUGCACUCUGCUCUGUUUAAGGCUCGCGCAGUUAAUCAAUUGAGGUUCUCUUAUGACCUAAUACGUUGUUUGAGAAUUGUGUACACUUGUUAGUUGACUCGGUGGGUUGAUCUCUAUCGGGCUCUAACCAGAGGCGUUAUAAGGGUGCUCGGCUGGAUGUGUUCCGGAGCAUGAGAAAUAUCAGGCCUGCCUGGGUAGCGUCCCGAGGUCAAAGUAAACUUGUCUGGGUUACACCCUCAGUUCAAGUCAGCGGGAGACAGAGAUCCGUCGGUGGCUAGAGGUCCGGGAUCACAGCGAGUAACAGAAAGGGAGUGUGACAUGUGCGCACAAAUGAAAAAUGUUUUAACAUGCUUAGAAGUUCUUUCAAUUUAAAACCUUCUAAGUCAUGUCAAGUAUAAUUGGAUAAACUGUCUUUAUUAAAAUAUGAAAUGUUUCAGAAAAUGCAUGCCCACUAAGUACAUUAGUACUUAGCCCAAAAAUACUUUCAAAUGUUUUCAGGUUGGCUGGCCGGUGCUGACGGGACGGAGCUGAGGCUAGCGAUAAAUUCCUAUGUUAGACUUCCGCUGUAGCAAUUACUCAUAUCAGUCUUUUGUUUUCCCAACUUAAGAUCUUCAUGUUAAAUUUCAAAUGAUAUACCUGACCGAACUUAGACUCUUCACUACUAAAUUUAUGCCAAUGAAUGCCGGUUGUCAGAAGCAUG
rnacentral:lncRNA from 1 species